rnacentral:siRNA from 1 species
UGGCUAAGUCCGUUCGGCGGAAGC